rnacentral:rRNA from 1 species
UGGGGAAUCUUCCACAAUGGGCGAAAGCCUGAUGGAGCAACGCCGCGUGAGUGAAGAAGGAUUUCGGUUCGUAAAACUCUGUUGUAAGGGAAGAACAAGUACAGUAGUAACUGGCUGUACCUUGACGGUACCUUAUUAGAAAGCCACGGCUAACUACGUGCCAGCAGCCGCGGUAAU